AGAGUUUGAUUCUGGCUCAGGACGAACGCUGGCGGCGUGCUUAACACAUGCAAGUCGAACGAUGAAGCCUAGCUUGCUAGGUGGAUUAGUGGCGAACGGGUGAGUAAUACGUGAGUAACCUACCUUUAACUCUGGGAUAAGCCUGGGAAACUGGGUCUAAUACCGGAUACGACCAAUCUCCGCAUGGGGUGUUGGUGGAAAGCGUUAUGUAGUGGUUAUAGAUGGGCUCACGGCCUAUCAGCUUGUUGGUGAGGUAAUGGCUCACCAAGGCGACGACGGGUAGCCGGCCUGAGAGGGUGACCGGCCACACUGGGACUGAGACACGGCCCAGACUCCUACGGGAGGCAGCAGUGGGGAAUAUUGCACAAUGGGCGCAAGCCUGAUGCAGCGACGCCGCGUGAGGGAUGACGGCCUUCGGGUUGUAAACCUCUGUUAGCAGGGAAGAAGAGAGAUUGACGGUACCUGCAGAGAAAGCGCCGGCUAACUACGUGCCAGCAGCCGCGGUAAUACGUAGGGCGCGAGCGUUGUCCGGAAUUAUUGGGCGUAAAGAGCUUGUAGGCGGUUUGUCGCGUCUGCUGUGAAAGGCCGGAGCUUAACUCCGUGUAUUGCAGUGGGUACGGGCAGACUAGAGUGCAGUAGGGGAGACUGGAAUUCCUGGUGUAGCGGUGGAAUGCGCAGAUAUCAGGAGGAACACCGAUGGCGAAGGCAGGUCUCUGGGCUGUAACUGACGCUGAGAAGCGAAAGCAUGGGGAGCGAACAGGAUUAGAUACCCUGGUAGUCCAUGCCGUAAACGUUGGGCACUAGGUGUGGGGGACAUUCCACGUUUUCCGCGCCGUAGCUAACGCAUUAAGUGCCCCGCCUGGGGAGUACGGCCGCAAGGCUAAAACUCAAAGGAAUUGAC
rnacentral:rRNA from 1 species